UAGCCAAGAUUUCUAUCCAUAAAUCUGUGAGUGGAUAAAACUUAUUUUUUAGAAAUAAGCCUUCUUUUAAUUUUAAAGUUAUUUAUUUUAUAAAGUUGACUUCAUAGCAUGAUUUUCAGAAUAAAAUGGAUUUUAUUAUCAAUUGAUUUUAAAGUUAAAUUCAGUUCAGUUAAAUUAUUUUAGUAGCAUGUAUUAUAUUCUUAUUACAUGUUUCAGUAUAGUUAAAGUUAUUUCUAAAAACCACCAGAAAGUACUCAGGUGAUUUUACCCCAGUUUGCACUGAUGUGAAUGUGUUUCCACAGUGUAUGACUAGUUAUGGUGAUUUUACCCGCUCUGCACUAUCGUGAAUGUGUUUCCAUAGUGUAUGACCAGAUUAUCAGAGGUCUUUGGGACCCACUCUCGUACACACAUAGGUUUUGGGCCGUGUACUAGGGUGAUUAGCCUUUGGGGCAGCUCUGCGUACGUAUGACCAGAUUAUUAGAUUAUCAGCUAUCAGAUUAUCAGAUUUGAAUGGCUUUGCCUUGUACAUCGAGAUUACUCUGUACAUGUGUAAAGCUAUUCAUUGUGUACUCUUUAUGGUGUGAUUUUUCAGUACUUAUUCAGUUCUCAGAUUUCAGAUUAUGGAAUUCAGUUAAUUCAGUUUUCAGAAUAAAGCUUUCAGCUUAAAGUAUUGAGCAGCAGCAAUAUUUCAUAGAUUUUCAUGAAUAUCAGAUUCUUUAUAUUUGUUAUACCUUACAAAUACUUUUCUAGAAUUUAGAACGAAGAAUUUUAUAAUGUAAUUAUAUUUAGUUUUUAAAAGUAUUACUAGAUUCAGAAAUUCUCAAGGAUUUAAUAAAGUUAAAAUUUUUAGAAAAUAUGCAUCAAUGGAAAAAGUUUACUUAUUUGCAAAUCAUCCACUCACUGAGUUACAAUAUCAUAUUUUUAUCACCAUUUUUCUUAGCAGAUGGUAGCUACGUUGAGCGACAUUGGAGCCUGUCGAUCUGCGAGUCGAGCCACAUGGUGUAUUUAUUGUGUGUCUAGUCUUGUCAGUACAUACAUUAUAUAUUUUUGGGAUUGAUGCUUUUUUAUCAGAAAAUGUAUUUAUAUCAUGGGUUUGCUGUAUAUUUUUAUAUAUGUUUUGCAAAUGGGGUUACCUGGUUCGAAAGGAGUGUAAAUUUCUUUCCAGUACACUUAUUUUGAACAGAUUGUAUUUCGAGGGACUAGUGUGUCCUAUUUUAAAUUAUAUGUAUGGAUUUGAGAAAAUUGAUUUUUGUUUAGGCGGAUUUAGUUCAUAUUUCAAAGUAAACUUUGUAAAAAUUCUUUUAAAAUAUUUUUCGUUCAAGCAAGUCAAGGUUGCCUUGGUGGUGGGUCCAACAUUUAGUUGGUAUCUACCAUCGGCACACGACACGUGUCGAGUCCAUUAAGGUGAUU
rnacentral:lncRNA from 1 species